UGGAGUCUCAUUCUGUCACCAGGCUGGAGUGCAAUGAUGUGAUCUCAGCUUGGCUCACUGAAACCUUCACUUCCUGGGUUCAAAUGAUUCUCCUGCCUCAGCCUCCAGAGUAGCUGGGACUACAGGGAUGUGCCACAACACCCAGCUGAUUUUUGUAUUUUUUAGUAGAGACAGGGUUUCACCAUGUUGGCCAGGAUGGUCUCUAACUCUUGACCUUAUGAUCCGCCUGCCUUGGGCUCCCAAAGUGUUGAGAUUACAGGCAUAAGCCACGGUGCCCAGCCUAUCUUUACUUUUGAUUGGAUAAUUUAAUAUAUUUACAUUUAAAAUAAUUAUUGAUAGCUGGUCCCUCCUCUAGUAAGCUCCUCAAGUUCCUCAAGGAUAAUCAACAUGUCUCCAUCACUCAGUGUUGAAACCCCAGUGACUACCACAAUUCCUGGCACACAGUUGGCACAAAAAUUUAUAUUUGUUGCAAGAAUGAAUGGAUGAAUGAGUACAUGAACAAAGGUACAAACUACACAUUAUAUGAACAAAUAAAAAUUAUAGGAAAAUUAUUUUGGGCUUAAUAGAAGCGAUAGGCUUAAUAUUAUACAUAUUUUUUGCUAUAAUAAUAUUUGUGGAUUUAUAUUUUAAUGCUUUAGUUCGAUUGAAUUUUGGAAUAACUUCUAGAGGUUUUGAACAAUUGCGAUAAGACCAGUGUCUACAUAUACUUGUUCUAUAAAUUAGAAUGUUCUUUAUUCUUCUCCCUGGGGUAGGGUGACAUAACAAAGGCGUGUUCUCUAGUUCUGGCAAGGCUGCUGCAUCUAUAGAGACUCCCUGAUUAAAAUUCUGUCUCUUUAUGAAACAGAAAAAGAUGACUCAGAACACUUGGGGAUCUGAAAGCCUCCAACAUGAAUUUCAAAUUUCUACUGUUAGAAUGCAGAAAAGCAAGUGAGAUUCUAAACAGUUCCUUCUUCUAUGGACCGCCCCUAUGUCUUUUUGUGAACCAGUCGAUGAGGACAAUGAAUAAUGAAAAUGUUUACUUGCAUAAACAUGUACAUAUGUGUUUCUUGUUGUUAGAGACAAAAUACAUCUUAGAGAAUAUAGAGAGGUCUGUGCCUUAGGCAAUGUUGCCUGGACAUAACUAACCUAAUUUUCUAUUAAAUCUUGGCAUCUGUAACAUUUGUGAUAGAAUCUACAAUACUCUUUUCAGAUUAGUUGGAUGCCACUAAACAUUGCUGAUAUACAUUUGGUAAAUAAAAUGAACACAAUGUGAAUGUGAAA
rnacentral:lncRNA from 10 species